UGAGGAAUAUUGCACAAUGGGGGAAACCCUGAUGCAGCAAUGCCGCGUGGGUGAAGAAGGCUUUCGAGUUGUAAAACCCUUUUCUGAGUGAAGAGAGAGGACGGUAGCUCAGGAAGAAGUCCCGGCUAACUACGUGCCAGCAGCCGCGGUAAAACGUAGGGGGCAAGCGUUAUCCGGAUUUACUGGGCGUAAAGGGCACGCAGGCGGUUUGGUAAGUUGAAUGUGAAAGCUCCCGGCUCAACUGGGAGAGGGCAAGCAAAACUGCGAAACUAGAGGGUGAAAGAGGGGAGCAGAAUUCCUGGUGUAGUGGUGGAAUGCGUAGAGAUCAGGAGGAAUACCAGAGGCGAAAGCGGCUCCCUGAGUCACAACUGACGCUGAGGUGCGAAAGCGUGGGGAGCGAACGGGAUUAGAUACCCCCGUAG
rnacentral:rRNA from 1 species